AGAGUUUGAUCAUGGCUCAGGGCUAACGCUGGCGGCGUGUCUUAGCCAUGCAAGUCGAGCGGACUUAUGGGGUAACUUAUAAGUCAGCGGCGGACGGCGGAGUAACACGUAGCUAACCUACCCUCUGGACGGGGAUAACCUACCGAAAGGUGGGCUAAUACCCGAUGUAGUCAUCCUGUAUAGGGGUGAUGAAAGGUGGGCUUCUGUUUACAAGCUCAUGCUGGAGGAGGGGGCUGCGGCCUAUCAGGUAGUUGGUAGGGUAAUAGCCUACCAAGCCGAUGACGGGUAGCCGGCCUGAGAGGGUGACCGGCCCGAGGGGCACUGAGAUACGGGUCCCACUCCUACGGGAGGCAGCAGGCUAGAAAUUUGGGCAAUGGGGGAAACCCUGACCCAGUGACGCCGCGUGCAGGAAGGAGCCCUUCGGGGUGUAAACUGCUGUCGUGUAGGGAGAAGGGUACUAAGGUGAACAAUCUUAGUACUUGACGGUACUACAGGAGGAAGCCCAGGCUAACCUCGUGCCAGCAGCCGCGGUAAUACGGGGUGGGCGAGCGUUGCCCGGAAUUACUGGGUUUAAAGGGGGUGUAGGCGGUCUGGAUAGUCGGGUGUGUAAUGCAAUCGCUCAACGAUUGAGCUGCAUCUGAUACUUCCAGGCUAGAGGGCGGUAGAGGAGAGCGGAACUCCCGGUGUAGCGGUGAAAUGCGUAGAUAUCGGGAGGAACGCCGGUGGCGAAGGCGGCUCUCUGGGCCGUUCCUGACGCUGAGGCCCGAAAGCUGGGGGAGCGAAAGGGAUUAGAUACCCCUGUAGUCCCAGCCGUAAACGAUGGGCACUAGGUGUAUCUUUUAACGGAGGUAUACCGUCGGGAAACCAAUAAGUGCCCCACCUGGGGGGUACGCCCGCAAGGGUGAAACUCAAAUGAAUUGACGG
rnacentral:rRNA from 1 species